CAGAGAACUUUCCAGAGAUGGAUGGUGCUUUCGGGAACUCUGAGACAGGUGCUGCAUGGCUGUCGUCAGCUCGUGUUGUGAAAUGUUGGGUUAAGUCCCGCAACGAGCGCAACCCUUAUCCUUGUUUGCCAGCACGUAAUGGUGGGAACUCCAGGGAGACUGCCGGUGAUAAACCGGAGGAAGGUGGGGACGACGUCAAGUCAUCAUGGCCCUUACGAGUAGGGCUACACACGUGCUACAAUGGCGUAUACAGAGGGCUGCCAACCAGCGAUGGUGAGCGAACCCCAGAAAGUACGUCGUAGUCCGGAUUGGAGUCUGCAACUCGACUCCAUGAAGUCGGAAUCGCUAGUAAUCGUGAAUCAGAAUGUCACGGUGAAUACGUUCCCGGGCCUUGUACACACCGCCCGUCACACCAUGGGAGUGGGCUGCACCAGAAGUAGAUAGCUUAACCUUCGGGAGGGCGUUUACCACGGUGUGGUUCAUGACUGGGGUGAAGUCGUAACAAGGUAACCAAGGG
rnacentral:rRNA from 1 species